AAUUAGAGCUUACAAGAGAUUGAUAAAUAAUAAGAUUUUGAAUCCUCUGAUAUAGUGAGCUCCCCCUAAAUGUGUGCAUUGAAUAGAAUUCAAAUUUUGGCCUCACAUGCCAAAUGCACAUAUUUAAGAAAAGGUGUGGAAACUCUUCUAUAUCUUAGCAUCCGUGGGGUGCAAGGUGUCAUCAUGAUAGACGUGAUGCUCAUGAAAAUUCAUGCACUUCAGAGAAAAAUAAACAAUACAUCAUUCAAGGCAUGAAUAUCACACACUAGCAUAAAUAGUCCUUAUCAAGAGCAUCAAUUUAAACUAUCUUUGCACAUUCCACACAAAAAAUUGAAAAAUCUUAUAUGCCUCUCUUUUACCCCUUUAAAUCUGCAUAUCAAUCUCUCCUCCCAUACACUCUCCCCCAAUAUUUCUCCCCCUUUGGCAUUAAUCCCCAAAAAGGAUCUCUCCACCAAAAGGAAGGAACAAUGGCAGACAAGUGAGGGCAAGAGGUAGGUAAAAGUUUAGCAUUUAGGAUUUCUCUUCUGAGUUUUCUACCAAGCAAAGUAUGCAACACCUUAAGUCAAGAUUCUUGAGAAGUUAGCAUGUUUAGUUCAUACCUCACUUAGAUGAUAGUUUUAACAUGAGACAAACUCACUUCAUCACCACAAGAGGUAUCAACCAAAUAUCUAACUCAUUCUCUAAUUGUCACCACAAGAGCAAACUUAUGGUGUGACUCAAAAUAUUGCACACACAUGCACACACUAGCAAGUAAGGGCCUAGAUGCACAAAGAUAAUACAAGAGUUCAUGGAGCGAUAUACCUUUGUUCUAAGCCUUGUAAUCUCCACCAUAAUGAUGAUUUUUAUGAGUUGAAUUUGGUGCUUUGAUGGGCUUAGCAUUUCUUUAUGAAAAAAAUAUUUCAUGUGCCCAUCUCUUUUCAUCAUCAUCUUUAAGGAGAUAUACAAAACUUGUGCUUGAUUUUGAUUGAAAGUCCAUUGCUAGCUCUUGAUGUCAUUAUGAGAAACCAAUUGAAGACAUAUUUCUUGAUAUACCAAAUUUGAAAAAUCACCCACCAAUACCAAAUGAAAUGUGGUCUCCACAAUUUUGACAGCAAUGAAAGAGUCUUCACAAGUUGAUGUCAAUUGAAAUAGAUUCUUGUAUCUCAUAAUAUCUCCUAGACAAUGCUCACAAAGACAAGAGAUAGCAUUAAAUUGCACAAGCCAUAGUCUCACAACUAGUGACCAUUUGGAUGUGGAAGGCAUGUUGAUCACUAAUUGCAAAACCUCAUAACAUAGACUAAAUUCCCCCUUUUUGUAGUGUAUACAUAUAUUUGUGGAAGGCAAGAACAUAUGCACUUUUGGUCAAUUAAGUCCAAACAAGGAAAUUUAAGCUAUAUUAUGGAGAGUAGCUACUUAAGAGAUAAAAAUACAAUCCAAAAUGAAUAUGAGAGAAAACUUUACCCAUUUGGAUUGAGUUAUUGUAACACCCUAAAAAUUGUUUUCUUGGAAAAUAGCUAAAAUGAUUUAUUUAUGAAUUUUUGUGCUCAUGAAACAUAGGAAAAUAAUAUUUUCAUUUAAAUAAAAUUAAUCAUAGGACUCAGCAACUUGUUGUGCAUUCAUGCAGGAGUAUAUUCAAUUUUGUCUUGUUGACUUUUGGUUUGAAUUUAAUUGCAUUAAAAUUCUCUUCAAAAGAAAGCUUUAGAAAAUAAAAUGGAAAAGAAAAGAAAAAAAAAAGAAAAAAAGGGAAGCUCCCUGUACUUCCCCUCUCGGCCCAGCCCCGUUUCUUCACCCCCCGCGACCCAGCUUUCCCUGCCCCGGCCCAAUUCGCUGCGGCCUAGCAGCGCAGGCGCGCUCCCUCUCCCCUCUCGCUUGGCCCGCUGACAGCCGGAACCCUGCGCUUCUCUGGCUGACAGUCCGGCCCCACGCGGCAGCGUCCCACUCCUCCUUUCUAUCUUCUUCCCCAACCGUGAAGGACUGGGACUCUGCCGAUGGAGAGCACCCUCGUCCUGGAUUCCACGGGAUACGGUUUCCUUCACCAUAUCGUAGCUAUAUGAGGUCCCGGCUCUCUCUCCGUGAUUCCGUUUCGUCGCCGUGGAUGCCCAGCCGCACGCUGUGAGCCGCUAAAUCCCACCGUAGAGCAGAUCUCGCCUGCCGCCGUGGUGUACAUCCCCUGCUGCGCGGAGGUCGCCAACAAACCGUGUGCCGGGCUUCGCAGCUAGGAGACAGAGCUUCCGAGCCCCUUCCCUUGUUCUCUCCCGAUCCCAGUAGCCCGUGCGAUAUCGCCGGACAUCGCAGGGGGUUCUCGCCCGUGGAUCCGCGCGGCACGUCUUCCCCGAGGUCAAUCCGCGCCUUGAAAACCCCUAGGUGAGUUCGCUUGUGUCCCCGUUUCGUCCCC
rnacentral:lncRNA from 1 species